GUGAGUAGGACUGGACAUGUGACUUGGAACUUCAGUUCUGUAUUCUCUUGUAGCGUCCUUUGCAACGGAAGGGGUUUGGAAGCUUCUCAGCAGUCGCCAAAACACAAACAUUUCCUGCAGUCUGACACAACUUGUAGCAAGUGAGGACAUAUUUAUCAGGUAGAUCGUAGAAAUAAACUGAUCACAGGAUGUGCUAUUAGUGUCCCCCGCUCCAAUUUUCAGAAUCAAGUAGCCUAGUGAAGUGUUUCACGGACCGUGAGCCGUCUGCAAAUUCUAGCAAGCGUCGUAUCAUAUAAAUUACUACAGCUGGAAAAAGUACUUUUUAGAUCGUAUGAGGAAUAUCUGACAAACGACAGCUCGGAAAUCGGCCAUAUUCCUGUCUCCUGAAUUGCUACCAAAUGCAAUCUGUCCAAAUCAUGGUGCUAUUUAUGACAACACAAUCAUUUGUUUUCCUUUCAUUUCUCCUUGUACUUCGGAAAUAUGACGUAACAGUGAGUAGAAGCAUUUCCAAUUUUGAUAUUUUUAAACCUCAAGUUUAUGAAUUUCGGUGUUUUUACAAUUAACAAGCAACCACGAUUUAUAAAACUUCCUUCUACGAGCUUGUACCACACAUUCACCGCAAUUUACGUUUCGGGAAUAAUUAUUUAUGUUUCAAAUGAAUGGCUUCGCUGUUUGACAAAAUGUUUAUUUCCAACCGACUGCACUGAGUAGCCUAUUGAGGGCGCCAAUUGUUCUUGCGUCUUAGUUUAUUCAACGAUGCAGCAGACGAGAGAGAGAGACGCGAAAGCCAUCUUCGUAGUUGCCGCCGUGAGAACCUUAAAUCCGACUUUUAAAAGUACAAUAUGCAAUGCACGUGACAUUGUAAUUUGGUUGUCACGUUUCAACUUUUACUUCCAGUGGGUUUAUUAUCGUUCGAUGUUCACUUUGGCGAAUGGUACCAACCUUUAAAACCAGACACAGACAAAGUUGUGUUCGAGAUAAAUUUCACUGUCGGCAACACGACACACUGCAGACGAUUCCACAUCAACAAAUCCUGGUAAUAGUGAAAUACGUCGCUGGUAAACAGGGUCAUUUUUAGACUACGAACUUGAAUUAUAUGUGAGAACAUCGCACCUGGUGGUUGAUCUUAGAAAGUAAGGAUUGUGAGAACAUCUCAUCUCACGAGAAUUGAAGUUGCUAUGGCUGUGUAUAUGCGGAUCGUGGUAUCUGGAGUUAUUUCGGAGAAACGUUAUGAAUAAUCAUCUACAAGGCAACAUGGCGUCAUAGCCUAUAAGACCACAAUCCACAAUGUCGCACUUGCGUUUGUACGUAUAAAGUAAAAACUGUGAUAACAUUGCAUCUUGUUUUAGAAAGUGAACGAUUUUUAGAACACAGCACGCUCUAUUUGUCAAACAAUCUGACAACUGUAAGAACAUCGUACCGUGUCUUUUGGUCCAUCAAGUUGAAAGACUGGGUAAAAUGGCACCAUACAUUAUUGGUAUAAGAACAUUAAAACAUUUGGAGAAUAAAUCAUAUUACAUU